rnacentral:rRNA from 1 species
CGGGACACGUGGUAUCCUGUCUGAAUAUGGGGGGACCAUCCUCCAAGGCUAAAUACUCCUGACUGACCGAUAGUGAACCAGUACCGUGAGGGAAAGGCGAAAAGAACCCCGGCGAGGGGAGUGAAAAAGAACCUGAAACCGUGUACGUACAAGCAGUGGGAGCACGCUUAGGCGUGUGACUGCGUACCUUUUGUAUAAUGGGUCAGCGACUUAUAUUCUGUAGCAAGGUUAACCGAAUAGGGGAGCCGAAGGGAAACCGAGUCUUAACUGGGCGUUAAGUUGCAGGGUAUAGACCCGAAACCCGGUGAUCUAGCCAUGGGCAGGUUGAAGGUUGGGUAACACUAACUGGAGGACCGAACCGACUAAUGUUGAAAAAUUAGCGGAUGACUUGUGGCUGGGGGUGAAAGGCCAAUCAAACCGGGAGAUAGCUGGUUCUCCCCGAAAGCUAUUUAGGUAGCGCCUCGUGAAUUCAUCUCCGGGGGUAGAGCACUGUUUCGGCAAGGGGGUCAUCCCGACUUACCAACCCGAUGCAAACUGCGAAUACCGGAGAAUGUUAUCACGGGAGACACACGGCGGGUGCUAACGUCCGUCGUGAAGAGGGAAACAACCCAGACCGCCAGCUAAGGUCCCAAAGUCAUGGUUAAGUGGGAAACGAUGUGGGAAGGCCCAGACAGCCAGGAUGUUGGCUUAGAAGCAGCCAUCAUUUAAAGAAAGCGUAAUAGCUCACUGGUCGAGUCGGCCUGCGCGGAAGAUGUAACGGGGCUAAACCAUGCACCGAAGCUGCGGCAGCGACGCUGAUGCGUUGUUGGGUAGGGGAGCGUUCUGUAAGCCUGCGAAGGUGUGCUGUGAGGCAUGCUGGAGGUAUCAGAAGUGCGAAUGCUGACAUAAGUAACGAUAAAGCGGGUGAAAAGCCCGCUCGCCGGAAGACCAAGGGUUCCUGUCCAACGUUAAUCGGGGCAGGGUGAGUCGACCCCUAAGGCGAGGCCGAAAGGCGUAGUCGAUGGGAAACAGGUUAAUAUUCCUGUACUUGGUGUUACUGCGAAGGGGGGACGGAGAAGGCUAUGUUGGCCGGGCGACGGUUGUCCCGGUUUAAGCGUGUAGGCUGGUUUUCCAGGCAAAUCCGGAAAAUCAAGGCUGAGGCGUGAUGACGAGGCACUACGGUGCUGAAGCAACAAAUGCCCUGCUUCCAGGAAAAGCCUCUAAGCAUCAGGUAACAUCAAAUCGUACCCCAAACCGACACAGGUGGUCAGGUAGAGAAUACCAAGGCGCUUGAGAGAACUCGGGUGAAGGAACUAGGCAAAAUGGUGCCGUAACUUCGGGAGAAGGCACGCUGAUAUGUAGGUGAAGCGACUUGCUCGUGGAGCUGAAAUCAGUCGAAGAUACCAGCUGGCUGCAACUGUUUAUUAAAAACACAGCACUGUGCAAACACGAAAGUGGACGUAUACGGUGUGACGCCUGCCCGGUGCCGGAAGGUUAAUUGAUGGGGUCAGCGCAAGCGAAGCUCUUGAUCGAAGCCCCGGUAAACGGCGGCCGUAACUAUAACGGUCCUAAGGUAGCGAAAUUCCUUGUCGGGUAAGUUCCGACCUGCACGAAUGGCGUAAUGAUGGCCAGGCUGUCUCCACCCGAGACUCAGUGAAAUUGAACUCGCUGUGAAGAUGCAGUGUACCCGCGGCAAGACGGAAAGACCCCGUGAACCUUUACUAUAGCUUGACACUGAACAUUGAGCCUUGAUGUGUAGGAUAGGUGGGAGGCUUUGAAGUGUGGACGCCAGUCUGCAUGGAGCCGACCUUGAAAUACCACCCUUUAAUGUUU